UCGAGGAUAGUCUACAAUGGUCGAAAGAUUGAUAGUGCGACGCCGCGUGAACGAAGAAGCAUUUCGGUGUGUAAAGUUCUUUUCUAUGCGAGCAGGGAUUGGGAGGUUAAUAGCUUCCUGGUUUUGAUAUUAGUAUAGGAAUAAGCCACGGCUAACUCCGUGCCAGCAGCCGCGGUAAUACGGGGGUGGCAAGCGUUGUCCGGAAUUACUAGGCGUAAAGGGCAGGGAGGCGGAUUGGUAAGUUAAUUGUUAAAGGCCCAUGCUCACCAUGGGUAAGGCAGUUGAUACUGUCAGUCUGGAAGCGAGUGGGGGAAGACGGAAUUCCUGGUGUAGCGGUGGAAUGCGCAGAUAUCAGGAGGAACACCGAAGGCGAAGGCAGUCUUCUACGCUUUGCUUGACGCUAAACUGCGAAGGUGCGGGUAUCAAACA
rnacentral:rRNA from 1 species